GAUUUCUGGCGAACCGGCUCAACCCGAUACUGUAUGGUAUUGAGUGCUGAGUCGUGUUGGUCAUCCUUCCGGAAAGCUGCGUCUACCAUUCAGUUGGCCGGACGUACGUGAUCCGGAUCUAUUACUUUGAAAAAAUUAGAGUGUUUAAAGCAGGCUUUUGCUAUGAAUACAUUAGCAUGGAAUAAUAAUCUAGGACUUCGGUUCUAUUUUGUUGGUUUAUAUAACUGAAGUAAUGAUUGAUAGGGAUAGUUGGGGGUGCUAGUAUUCCGCGGCCAGAGGUGAAAUUCUUGGAUUCGCGGAAGACUAACUACUGCGAAAGCAUU
rnacentral:rRNA from 1 species